rnacentral:rRNA from 1 species
GUACGGGAGGCAGCAGUGGGGAAUUUUGGACAAUGGGGGCAACCCUGAUCCAGCCAUUCCGCGUGAGUGAAGAAGGCCUUCGGGUUGUAAAGCUCUUUCAGCAGGAACGAAACGGUGGCCACUAAUACUGGCUACUAAUGACGGUACCUGAAGAAGAAGCACCGGCUAACUACGUGCCAGCAGCCGCGGUAAUACGUAGGGUGCGAGCGUUAAUCGGAAUUACUGGGCGUAAAGCGUGCGCAGGCGGUUCCAUAAGACAGAUGUGAAAUCCCCGGGCUUAACCUGGGAACUGCGUUUGUGACUGUGGGACUCGAGUGUGGCAGAGGGGGGUGGAAUUCCACGUGUAGCAGUGAAAUGCGUAGAGAUGUGGAGGAACACCGAUGGCGAAGGCAGCCCCCUGGGUCAACACUGACGCUCAUGCACGAAAGCGUGGGGAGCAAACAGGAUUAGAUACCCCGGU